GGCCCGGCACGGCCCGCCACGGCCCCACGGGCCGCCACAGCACGGACUGCCCCGGCACGGACCGGCCCGGCACGGACCGCCACAGCACGGCCCGCCACGGCCCCACGGGCCGCCGCAGCACGUACAGCCCCGGCACGGACCGGCCCGGAUUACUUCCCCACGCAGCGGCAGCGCGGGACUUCCCUGAACUUGUCCCACGGAGUGACUCGGCCCAGGAGUUCCACUCGCUGGGCGGGAACCAGGGGUCCCCUUGCCCUCAUCCCUCCCGGGGUCCUGGACACGCUACAGAGAGUCAUGGGGGGCUUCCUGGCCCCGCCACUGGGGACCCUGGCCCGGCUCCUGGGGGGCCCUGACCCCACUCCCGGGAGUCCUGGCCCCAUUCCUAGCAUACCUGGCCCUGCCUCCGGUGGUCCUGGACCCCUUCAGAUGCAGAAUGCUGCACAGUGUCUGUAUUAAAAUACAGCUGCGCCUAAAAAUCCAUAAAAAUACAUUGCCUGAUGAUUGUGCUUUUGUGUUCACCACAUUUCUUAGCAUUGCCAGCCCUUGCUGGCAGCUGUGCUCCCAUGAAGGUAAGGACACACUGCUGGAAGGCAUUUGUGGUGAUCACAGUUAUUUCAGCUGGGCCAUUGUACCCAGAGAUGUGAAGGAGCUGGAUGCCCUCACCAUUUCACUCACAGUUUGGUUCUGCAGGAUGAAACAGUCCCAGGCUCUGCGUGCCAAACUGUGUGUGGGAGAGGUGCGUGGGAGAGGCCCUUGCUGGCAGCAUGUUCCCAUCCCAAGCAGAGCUCCUCAUCUCUGGAUGCAAACCAGCCUGUGGCAGCCGUGCAUCCCAUGUUCUUCACUCCCUGCAUGUCCCAAGUCCUGCACAAAGGGACUGUUACCUGGGCGUGUUUUUCUCUGGCUGCUGUCUCCCAAAGCCUAAUGAUGCCACUUGACUUCUGCGUCGCAUUUGUAAUGCUCUAAUUUGUUUCACAGCCAAAAGAAGAGUGGUGUAGUUCAACUGUGACUGAAGGAAGAGAAAGAAGGGAAUAAACAGUGACGCUCCACAGAUGGAGACAGAGCAGCUGUGGGGAGGUACCAGCUCUUCCAUAUCAAAGGAACCACUGCUCCUCCAUCACAGCAAGCAUGGUCACGGGUGUACUCUGAGCGUGUUGAGGCACUGAAUGGACCAGGUGCACUCAAUAAAAGGCCAGGGACUACAACCAACUCUUUCACCCACUUCUGAGGCUCUGAGUUUACCCCAUGACAACAGAAGCUGAAGAGAAGGCAUCAGAUCACUGUGCUUACGGAAUGUGCAAGUUCUCCUCCAUGGAUGGUAUAGGUACGAUAUUGUUCAGGGGUGUAUUGGUGUAACAGCCUCUGCCAUUGUUUAGAAAAUAACCUGCCUUAGAAAGAAAGAGCCUGCUAAGAUGUUCAAAAUGGCCAUUAUUGCCAUGGAAGAA